rnacentral:rRNA from 1 species
GACGAACGCUGGCGGCGUGCUUAACACAUGCAAGUCGAACGGAAAGGCCCUGCUUGCCGGGUACUCGAGUGGCGAACGGGUGAGUAACACGUGGGUGAUCUGCCCUGCACUUCGGGAUAAGCCUGGGAAACUGGGUCUAAUACCGGAUAGGAGCCAUUUUUAGUGUGAUGGUUGGAAAGUUUUUUCGGUGUAGGAUGAGCUCGCGGCCUAUCAGCUUGUUGGUGGGGUAAUGGCCUACCAAGGCGGCGACGGGUAGCCGGCCUGAGAGGGUGGACGGCCACAUUGGGACUGAGAUACGGCCCAGACUCCUACGGGAGGCAGCAGUGGGGAAUAUUGCACAAGGGGCGCAAGCCGGAUGCAGCGACGCCGCGUGGGGGAGGACGGCCUUCGGGUUGUAAACGCCUUUCGCUAGGGACGAAGCUUUUUGUGACGGUACCUAGAGAAGAAGCACCGGCUAACUACGUG